rnacentral:rRNA from 1 species
AUUGAACGCUGGCGGCAUGCCUUACACACGCAAGUCGAACGGUAACGCGGGGCAACCUGGCGACGAGUGGCGAACGGGUGAGUAAUGCAUCGGAACGUGCCCAGUAGUGGGGGAUAGCCCGGCGAAAGCCGGAUUAAUACCGCAUACGACCUACGGGUGAAAGGGGGGGAUCGCAAGACCUCUCGCUAUUGGAGCGGCCGAUGUCAGAUUAGGUAGUUGGUGGGGUAAAGGCCUACCAAGCCUACGAUCUGUAGCUGGUCUGAGAGGACGACCAGCCACACUGGGACUGAGACACGGCCCAGACUCCUACGGGAGGCAGCAGUGGGGAAUUUUGGACAAUGGGCGCAAGCCUGAUCCAGCCAUGCCGCGUGCGGGAAGAAGGCCUUCGGGUUGUAAACCGCUUUUGUCGGGGAAGAAAUCUUCCGGGCUAAUACCUCGGGAGGAUGACGGUACCCGAAGAAUAAGCACCGGCUAACUACGUGCCAGCCGCCGCCGUAA